AAUCCUCAAAACCCAUUCUUCGAUCGGGGAAAGGGUUUUGGACUUGGAGGAUCAAUGCUUGCCCUCACUUUGAAGGCAAGCUCCUCUCAAAUAAAUUAGUGGGGUUUGCUUUGCUGAUCCUCGACGGUGAUAAGACAUCUCUACGUUUUGGAUUUGGCGACUGUCCCUUGCUUCUAACCGUCCUAUGGACAAUGAUGGGUGCACCGGUCCACCGCCUUACAUUGGAGGGGGGCUGGACCCACAAAAAAGGA
rnacentral:misc_RNA from 1 species